GACGAACCGUGCGAACGUUGUUCGGAUUCACUGGGCUUAAAGGGCGCGUAGGCGGACUCGCCAGUCUGUGGUGAAAGCCCCCAGCUUAACUGGGGAAGUGCCGUGGAUACUGCGAGUCAGGAGGAGGGUAGGGGCAUCUGGAACGCUGGGUGGAGCGGUGAAAUGCGCAGAUAUCAGGAGGAACACCGGUGGCGAAGGCGGGUCUCUGGGCCGAUAUUGACGCUGAGGAGCGAAAGCGUGGGGAGCGAACAGG
rnacentral:rRNA from 1 species